rnacentral:rRNA from 1 species
CGUGUCGUGAGAUGUUGGGUUAAGUCCCGCAACGAGCGCAACCCCUGUGGUUAGUUGCCAGCAAGUAGCGUUGGGCACUCUAGCCAGACUGCCGGUGAUAAAUCGGAGGAAGGUGGGGACGACGUCAAAUCAUCAUGCCCUUUAUGUCCUGGGCUACACACGUACUACAAUGGCCGUUACAACGGGAAGCGAAGGAGCAAUCCGGAGCAAAUCCCUUAAAGCGGUCCCAGUUCAGAUUGUGGGCUGAAACUCGCCCACAUGAAGGCGGAAUUGCUAGUAAUUGCAGAUCAGCAUGCUGCAGUGAAUACGUUCCCGGGCCUU